CCUCGGUCACGAUCACCGGAAUUCGCGGACGCUCGACUAUCGUCUUCGACGUUACGCUCAGAGGUGGCAACCAAGCACCUCCACUCUCGCAAUUCUUCAGGAUCUCAGUGUCCGGUCAAAAUGGAUUUGACACAACAAUAAAAGCGAACAGCAGCCGUGAUCCUUUGACCGAUAUGGAGGAUAUCGCGCGCGGAAACAGCGGUUACGCAACAGGUCGAUCAACGUCCACGUCGAAUCAUCCUCGAACGGCCGAUCCCUCGGGCGAUGUCGGAUGUUGACGUUCCAAGAUCCACGGUCUCUAUCUCGGUCACGUGGUCGCCGGUGUCACGUGGGGGCGGAGGAUGCGGGGCGAGAAGAUCCACCGGAGGAAGCGGGGUCGAGACCGAGCAGGAAGAGGUCGAUUCGAAGUUUCACACGAGUAACUGUUUUUUCGAAAAAUCCGAAGCUCGGUUAAGUCACGUAGAAAUCCGAGUAUCGGUCGAAGGUCGACGAGGACCGAUCGUGUGACACCACGUAGCCGCGCGCACCUCUCGAGAAUGGCCUAGAGGCGAAAAGAGGAAAGGAUCUCCUCGAGUGGCGCCGCCCGCGGCAGGAGGGGGCAAAUCUCUCUCCUGCGAGCCGAGAGCAAGUGUUGCCGGGCCCACCACCACCGUCGACGGACCUCUCGGCGACCACCACCAUCAUCGUCUCGGGCACCACCACCAUCGGGCACCAGUCGGCCACGAUACCAUCGGUAUCACCAUCACCGCAGCUUCGUCCACCUUCGCGAGAGAACGUCGUACGUGCACGUUCGCCCGUCCCGUUCUCCUCCUCGAGAUCCUCUUCCUCCGUGACUGUCCACUCGGUCUCCCCUCCCGUGCCGGCAACUUGUCUCCUCGACCAGGCUGGACCGCUUGCCGCCUCGCUUUGUCCCGAUGCUGCUGUCUCAUGCCUGAGAGACGUAUCGAUGAUACUUGCUCGAUACUACGAUUUACUAGAACCACUUCGCCUCGUGCACGCGCAUUAUUCCAUUUUCUUCUGCUUCUUCCAGUCCUCCUUUUUUUCCAGUCCACACGCCCUUUCAUCCUUCCAUCUGCACGAUUCCGUUCGAUCAACCUGAUUCUCGAGGGGCAUUGCCAGUCUCUUAUCUUUAUGCUCUCGGUGUCUCGCUUAUCUUCGCAUUGUAUAAUAUACGUAUGGCAUACCGGUACGAUCUCCUUUGCAGAACUUAUCGUUAUGCAAGGGAACGAGAGAUAGGAAUUGAUUUAAAUUAUUGAGGCAUGAAAUUGGCAGAAGUCAGAGACACUUGUUGCCAAUAUCUCAUCCAAUCUAUCUAACGGAUUCUCUACUCGUAACAGAUAUUUCCAUUCAUGUACUGAUAAUAUGUAGCGACAGUGUUCGAGACAAUAAAAUUGUGUUCUCCAA